rnacentral:rRNA from 1 species
GACGAACGCUGGCGGCGUGCUUAACACAUGCAAGUCGAACGAAGAGCGACGGAAGCUUGCUUCUAUCAAUCUUAGUGGCGAACGGGUGAGUAACGCGUAAUCAACCUGCCCUUCAGAGGGGGACAACAGUUGGAAACGACUGCUAAUACCGCAUACGAUCUAAUCUCGGCAUCGAGGAUGGAUGAAAGGUGGCCUCUACAUGUAAGCUAUCACUGAAGGAGGGGAUUGCGUCUGAUUAGCUAGUUGGAGGGGUAACGGCCCACCAAGGCGAUGAUCAGUAGCCGGUCUGAGAGGAUGAACGGCCACAUUGGGACUGAGACGCGGCCCAGACUCCUACGGGAGGCAGCAGUGGGGAAUCUUCCGCAAUGGACGAAAGUCUGACGGAGCAACGCCGCGUGAGUGAUGACGGCCUUCGGGUUGUAAAGCUCUGUUAAUCGGGACGAAAGGCCUUCUUGCGAAUAGUGAGAAGGAUUGACGGUACCGGAAUAGAAAGCCACGGCUAACUACGUG